AUUGAACGCUGGCGGCAGGCCUAACACAUGCAAGUCGAACGGUAGCACAGAGAGCUUGCUCUCGGGUGACGAGUGGCGGACGGGUGAGUAAUGUCUGGGAAACUGCCCGAUGGAGGGGGAUAACUACUGGAAACGGUAGCUAAUACCGCAUAACGUCGCAAGACCAAAGUGGGGGACCUUCGGGCCUCACACCAUCGGAUGUGCCCAGAUGGGAUUAGCUAGUAGGUGGGGUAAUGGCUCACCUAGGCGACGAUCCCUAGCUGGUCUGAGAGGAUGACCAGCCACACUGGAAAUGAGACACGGUCCAGACUCCUACGGGAGGCAGCAGUGGGGAAUAUUGCACAAUGGGCGCAAGCCUGAUGCAGCCAUGCCGCGUGUAUGAAGAAGGCCUUCGGGUUGUAAAGUACUUUCAGCGGGGAGGAAGGCGGUGAAGUUAAUAACUUCACCGAUUGACGUUACCCGCAGAAGAAGCACCGGCCAACUCCGUGCCAGCAGCCGCAGUAA
rnacentral:rRNA from 1 species